GUCAGCGACCUUAACCACUCGGCCAUGGAGGCCCCUAGAGAACAACUUGACCUGGAAUGGUGAAACUUAAUAGGAUGAUUGGACAUACAGAGAAAGGGUCACUCGAUAAAACGUCAAUGUUACAGUGGCCUGAACAUUGAAUACCGUUUCCAAUUCAUAACUUGUGAACUACUAGGCCUAGAAUAUUGAAACUAAGUGGUAUGACAACUAGAUGACCUCUGUUGCAGCCAACCAUCUGUGUCUUUUUGACUUUCACUGCUGUCCCCUAUUGACGUUUUGCCAAUACGACUGUUCAUUGAGGAAGACAUGCGCGCUUUUCUACAUAAGCAUCUUCUAGUUUCAUGAGUGACGUAGUCAAUAGUGGAAAUAGUUGAAUGAUGACAUUUCCAAGAAUACACAUAUGAUUGCAGAACUACAAAGAAAAUUGGAAACGAUUAUACAGAAAGAUGGAAUUUGCACCAAAAUGAUACAAUGUAAGUAUCUUAUGUUGUCAUUAAGGUAGCAGUUUUAGGACUUUUCGCAAGCCGGCCAGGGAACGUCUUCCUUCGUUUCAGCAGAAAUCAACUAAACAAAGAGAUUUGAAGAAAUAAAGCAUAUUAAUAUUAUGCAUUUGUAUGCUUUUUUAAAAUCCAUUAGACAUAUUUGCCAUGUAUAAGUUUCUGUGGUCAAUCCAUAGCUAAUAGUGAAACAGGUUCGCGAAAAUAUGGACCAAUUUUCCAAAACAUUUGUCCUAGUAGCAAAACGAUUGGGGAAAAACAGGAGUCCAACAAUGCACAGUGUCUUGCACACAAACCUUUCCCUCACCUAUGCUCAAUAACAAAACUGUCUAUAAACCGAUUAUAUUUUCAGUACUCCUUACUGAAUUAGGCCUCUGUUGUUUUGACAUUUGCACAUACAUCCAGUGAUCAACAUUCGCAGUUUUACAUCUGGCCAACUUAAGGGCACUGAUUCCGUUAUGGUCAAUUGAAUGCUAGUCAGAAGGUUUUUUAAUGUCCAUUUAACAGCACCAAAGCACAAAAUCCGCAUUGAAUAUCAUUUCGAAGGAAGACGGGGCCUUCAGUUUUGACAGUUAGCUUUAUUUUAAGAUUUUGAUCCCCGGACAAUUCACAUCUAAGGCUCGAAACUACCAACUGCUACCUAAGAGUUAAUUUCGUCUUUGCCUGGCGUUUUAAGAGUUGAUAAAAAUACAUCUUGAAAUGGGUAACGAUUUACCCUGUACAGUAUAUUUUAAAAAAAGUAUCUUUUUGACAGAUAAAAUUAAUACCAUUACGUUCUACUUAAUAACAAAAAUGUUUGUCAAAACAUCGAUGUCAAACAAGUAAGAAUUAAACGUAUUCAAAUGUCGGUGCCAUUUUGUUUAAAUGAAAAAUAAGUUAUUGUAGUAUAUGCUUAAAUCUAUACAACAUUAAUUGGUACAAAGAUAUGUGUAGAGGGAACAGACGAGGAGGUCGCCACUCUUAUAGAAGAGAUUGUUACAGAUAUUAUAAAUGAAGCAGAAAAGAAAACGUUUGGAUCAAAGAAUAUUAGGGCAAUUAAGGAGGCAGUGGAGCAGAGUCUUAGCGACAUGAAGUGCGACGGGGACGACGACGUGCUGUAUGCGAAACAGUCUUGUGUUUUAUGAAUGGGUACGAUGUAACACGUACAAAGGUUUCCUGACCUGCUGGAAUACAUUCGGUGUCCCCUUAUUUCCCAGUGUUUGGAAAAACUUUCAGUAGCUGUCAUGAUCGAUCUGAACAUUCCCUGCAGAUUUACCUGCAUUGUCACACCCAGUAGUCUGCGAUCACCCCAGAAACAAUUUAGCGAGUAAUAUAUAAUUUACAUACUUCGUGCCACAUUGUGUGCACUUUAUAAUUCUAUAAUUUGAUAUCCAUCGACCUACAUUGCUGUACAAAAGUUUUAAUUUCUAAUUCUUUAUAAUUAAUCAUAUUUGAAAGUUUCGUUAUGUGUUAUGUCCGUAUAAGCUUUGUUAUAUUUCAGACAACAAACAGGAUGACGAAAAAGGAAGUACAACAAAAUACAAAAGUUCAGUAACAAUUCCAAUACGGUGCAAAACUAUACAUUGACUUUGCGUGCUGGGGGGUUCGUUUUGAGGAGGCUGCACUUUUGGUGCUGGGCACUCCCUGUUUGAUAUUUUUCUUUGUUUUUUUUUCUCGAAUAUUAGAAUUGGUUGAAGGUUGAGACGCACAACACUUCGAGGGUCUUUUACAGUUUAUUUCAAACUUAGUUGGCAGACAAGAUUCGGUAACAGCUUCUAUUGGUUUGCAUGAAUUCAGUGAAGUCAUGCAGAACAUAGGUAAUAAGUCUUAUAGAAGAAUAAAAUAGUAAGGACACAUUUAGAUUGAAAGUUAUGCAAUCUGUCCGCUUCGUCAUUUCUAGACUGCUUGAAAGAUUUUAUAGAACUAGUAUCACUUGUUUACCUCAUCAAAACGAUGUGCAGAGUAUAUGACCCAAGUCACUAAUGUCAAGUGCAAUGGCACGCUAAGAGGUCAAAGAUCAAGUAGCUUAGGUUUACUUUCCCUCAAUAUUUCUUAACAACUGGAAGGAUUUUCACAAAAAAAAAAAAACAAAAAAAAAAAAAACAAAAACAAAAAAAAACAUCAGUUGUUUACCACAUCCAGACAACAGGGAGAGUGCACACUCCAAGACAUUAGGCUAGGUCAAUGUCACAAUUACAAUGCAUAUAGCUGGCUGUAGUUUGUGUCCACUUUAUAUCAUUUUAACAAUCAGAAGGAUUUUCAUGCAUUUAACACCAAUUAUUAUCCUUAUCAAGCUGGAGAGAGUACAACACGGUUUACUAGGUCUAAGGUCAAGACUACACUUGAUGGAAGAGUACACUGAUGGUCAAAGAACAUGACAACAACAAUUAACUUUCCCUAUAUAAAGCGGAAUGAGGGAAUAUUGAUCGUCUUUAGUGAUAGUUCUAGCUGAAUUUUACUUAUUUCAAUGAUUUCCAUUAACAUCAUAUUGCAAAGCUAUAAGGUCUUAAUUGAAUGGUAACAUACAUUCUAUCAUAUUGCAUUUUACAGAUACGUUUGACACGGAGGUUAAUGAACUGUUUACAGACCUACGGAAUAUGAAAUCAAGGAUGACUGUUGCAACUUCAUUAUCGGUAGAUAGUGGAGUGCCAACAUCGGAGCAUUGGGAGUAGUUACAUUUAUUUAUUUAUCAUAACGGAAUUAUCAAGCGUAAUCCUUUGUGUUUUUUAUUAUAUUAUAUGUUAUCACCUUAAGCUAUUGUUUUAAAACAACGAGUUAAUAAGAUUUGUGUAUUAAAUAAAAUAUUAUUGUAACCCAAGGGAAAUUAUUCCUGUCUGUUUUAGAAUUAAAUAUUCUAUACACAUUAUGUUUACUUUGGCUACCGCUGUAGGAAUUGUGGUCACAUGAUGCCGGCGACGGAUCCGAAAUUUCUUACCUAUUUGACAAAGGCUCUAAAACAACUUUUAUAGAUGAACCAGGAAAUGGUCUGAAGAUACCACAGUUACUUCUACCGAAUCUUCCCUUGCGAUUCUUUCAUUUUGUAAGGAAAACACCAAAGCACAUGGACCUGUCAUCAUAUCUUUUUGAGGCAUUCGAUAAAAUGGAUAUUGACAUGCUCCGAAAGAGCCAAUCAAAAUUAUCACGAGCAUUUGAGUCAAAAUUUAAGACAUAUGGUGUUCGUCUGGUAUCCAGAUCAAAAGUAUUUUCAUUUCCAUCUACAGAAAACAUAGACGUUGGUCAACAUUGUAUUUCAGGUUCCGAUCCAAUUUGAUGAGUGUAUAGAUACGUACUAUAUACACCACAAUGAAAUAAAAGCCGCUGGUUAUGCUUUUGUUUCACCUCCUUGGAUAUGGGAAUUUCAAUAUUAUUCUCACGAAACAUAUGGACCUGCUGUUUUAAAAAGAGGUCUUCUGUGUAUAGAACUUUGUGCACAUUGGCCUGCGUAUGCUCGGGAGCGACUACUUCAGCGAAAUAGAAGCUUUUCAGACGAAACAAAGCUGCAUUUGAUGCAAGACAAAUGCACACUCGAGCAAGUGCAGUCUGAAUACAGUCCUUUCUUAUGGCGUUUCACAUUUAAAUUACAGGAGCGUUAUCUAAUUGAACAUUUAAAUGACUUGCAAUGGAAGUGUCUCCUUGCAAUGGAUAUUCUCUUAAAUGACAACGCUGUGUUAACAAAUGAGGUAUUUUGCAUGACUUUAUUUUACACAAUAGAAAGGUUACAAACAAAACAAAUGGAAUAAGAGGGAAAGCUAUUUGUCAUGCCUCAUUGAAUGUCUCUGCACAUUGUUACAAUUCGUGGAAAACAGUUUUGUACCGAAUUUCUUUUGGCCUGCAAAUAACAUCCUAUUAGAAACAAUUAGUGCUGAGGAAAGAAAACGGAUGAUUGCUGAAAUUAUAAACAACUGAAAACCCUUUUGAAACCUUUUACAGGAUUCCGUGGGCUGAGGUUCAAAAUGCAAUCAAAAAUUCUGUCUCGUUUAUACAACGAAUGAAACUAGUAUUAAGCUAAAUGGUUCUCGCGAUUUUCAAAGAUUUAACACGCUAUGACAUAUGUUAAGAUUUAUGAGUACUGAAGCAUGAUAUCAUAUUUAAACGCACGUUCCAUCGUCACAGUACACAUAACAGGCAUUUCGUGUUGAUUUUGACUUGUCUGCAUCAAAGUCUGUGCCAAGCACACGUGGUGCAUAUUUGCUGCAUAAGCGAUUGGUAAAGCUUAGUAUUGAAAAUUUAUUCUUUUAUUUUGUUAUCUCCAGUUGCUGUUAUUGCAUUGCCUAUUUUUUAGCAUUGCACUAAAACUUAGUUGUGCAUGUAUAAACUGAACAUUAGCAUGUUGCUUUGAACUUCAACAUGUUGCUUUAUACACACAGGUUAUAGUAAUGAGAAAAGGCAGAAUAUGACUUCCAAAUUUGCAUGGCAUUCACGUGUUGCGAAUAUGAGCGAUUCCGAAAUUACUAAAAUUAACAAUAAACUAACUGAGCUGGAAAUCAAGAUAAGAUGGUACAUUUAAAGCUGAGUUAUUUAAAAGGUUCAUUUCAUCAAUUUCCAUUUUCUUUUUUUUUUUUUUUUUUUUUUUGAAUGAAUAAAACAUAAAUUUCCCAGAUGGGUAUACGAAUGGUGUACUGUAUAAGAACCUAACAGUAUUAGUUCAAUAAAGGACGGUCAUUCAAAAUGUUGUAGCACUGAGAUAUUUAAUUACAUUCAUCGGUUAUGCUGUCAUAGGCUAUUCUGGUAUAAUUUAUAUAGUAUCAGUAUAUGACAAAUUUGUAUCUAUUUAUAUCUGAAAUUCAUCUUAAAUUACUUUCAAUUGCGAGGCAAAUCAAAUAAUGAUAGAAGUAGCAUGGGCAAGCGUUAACUCAACCGUGGUAGGUCCAUAGAUGUAAAUUUGAUAUAGAUAUAAGCUUUCUAGUGUCGAAGUGGCGAAUAACACCCUGUUAUUGCAUAUAUAAAGGCAUAAAAUUAAUUUGAAGAUAGAUAUAAAAUUCUGUGACAUGCUUCCCUCAGUGGAUGAAUUGUAAGGUGGAAUCUAUACAGACUGGGAAAAGUCAACAAUUUUCAGUGAAAUUAGAUAUAGUUUUUCUUAGCAACUAUCUUUUUAAGCAAAGAAAGUACGAGUAAAACAAUAUAAAUAUGGGGUUAAAUUGUAAAUGAGGUAAAUCAAGCAAACACUUAAAUCCAACGUUACAAUUCUCUAGGUAAGACUUAUGGAAUCAUUGUACUCUUUUAACGUUUACUGUUUGCAUAUUUGCAUAUUUCUUUGCAACGAAAUAAGAUAUAACAGUUAUGUGAAAAUGUUGCUGUGAAACUUAUACAAAAUAUGUCUGUCUAAGGUUUUCUUUCAUUAAUAUGAAUAUACUUCACAUCAUAUAAUCUUUAUAACAAAUUAGAGUCAAACCUGUCUAUAAAGACCACCCUUGGGAGAGCCACAAUGUGGUCUUUAUUGGGAGGUGGUCUUUAUUCACAGGUUAAAAUACACUGUAAAUGUUAAAAUGGGAAACAAAACAUGUGGUCUUUAGAGCCAGGUGGUCUCUGUUCAGACGUGGUCUUUAACACAGGUUUGACUGUACGUUUAAAUUACUUUCAUUUUUUUUUAUGUAUACAUAACUGUCAAUGCUACCGUUGCAAAGAUUAAAGUACAGACAAAGCAACUGAAAGCCAAAAGAUUUUAUCACUUUCUAAGAUAUGACACUAGUGUCAAAAAUUCUUCAAAGACGCUUGUACGUAUGCCUUCUAUCUGAACAGCACAACUAUACCACACAGGCUUGUCAGAUGUACUUGUACUUUUUAUGACAUAUUUUGUGAUGAGGUAAUCUUGGCACUUGCAAAUUGCAUAUUGAACCAACCUGUCAACCGACUCCGUUUAUUGUGACAUUCCUAGCUAAUUAUUUAAAAUGUGUUCAUGUAUAUUAAGACUACAUGUAUAUUUAUUUAAGAUUAAAGUUUUAUGAAACAAUCUUGUAUUGUAUCUGUAUCCUUUAUAUGGCUCUUUUACUAAAUAUGUACAGAUAAAGGUAACAGUAAAAUAUGUUUAUUGAUAAAAAUAUGCCAUUUCUGUGCUAUUUAAUACGCAGACGUUUUCUCUUUGUAAAUACAUCGAAUGAUGCACCCAAAAGUCUAGGAUACAAACAAAAAGAACAAACCACUGAUAUUUCAAAAACAUUAGGCGGAUAUUUUUGUAACUGAUAUCACUUUCAUCAUUAAAUAUUGCGGUUGUUGUUCGGUUUCGGAAUUAACCUGCAAUUUUGUUUGUUAAAUUUGUUAGAUAUGCCGUCUAAGGAUUAUAUCAAAGUUGCUUCCAGGUCAAGAUCGAUCCGCCAAAGUUGCAGAUACAGCGAGACAACCACUUGGCUAUUUAGAUUUUGGUUAGAUGUUGCCGCCAGGCACUUGUGUUUUCCGCUACAUAACAACGAAGUACUAGUAAAUGUUUGGAGCUUAGUAAAUAAGCAAUCUAUAGAGCAUAGAAUGCAACCAAGCAAAAUAAUAGCAGACCCGGUUUGACUGUCUGUUCAUGAGAAGUAAUGAAAUAUGCAACGCCCUUGACGCUACCUAGUACCGGUUUCAGCGGAACUCUGUGACAAAAACGGACUGAAUGGACUCAGUGACCGGUAAGAACCAAAACAAUAUAACAAAAUUAAGGCAAGAAAAAAACAUGAACAUUGAUUCAAAAGGAAUAGUCACAUUUCAAGAACGCAGUCUCCUAAAACAAACCCACAUUCGCGUGUGUGCGUGCGUGCCUACCUGCCUGUCUGCGUGCGUGCGUACCUGUCUGCAUGC
rnacentral:lncRNA from 1 species